rnacentral:rRNA from 1 species
GACGAACGCUGGCGGCGUGCUUAACACAUGCAAGUCGAACGGAGAGGCCCUGCUUUUGUGGGGUGCUCGAGUGGCGAACGGGUGAGUAACACGUGAGUAACCUGCCCUUGACUUUGGGAUAACUUCAGGAAACUGGGGCUAAUACCGGAUAGGAGCUCCUGCUGCAUGGUGGGGGUUGGAAAGUUUCGGCGGUUGGGGAUGGACUCGCGGCUUAUCAGCUUGUUGGUGGGGUAGUGGCUUACCAAGGCUUUGACCGGUAGCCGGCCUGAGAGGGUGACCGGCCACAUUGGGACUGAGAUACGGCCCAGACUCCUACGGGAGGCAGCAGUGGGGAAUAUUGCACAAUGGGCGGAAGCCUGAUGCAGCAACGCCGCGUGCGGGAUGACGGCCUUCGGGUUGUAAACCGCUUUCGCCUGUGACGAAGCGUGAGUGACGGUAAUGGGUAAAGAAGCACCGGCUAACUACGUG